AUGCAAAUUGCUCCAGAUACCAAGAAAUGCACAUGUCAAUAUGCUUUUAAUUUUAACAGCAUUGAACGAUUAAUUUUAACAUCAUUGAUUGAACGAUUAUGCAAAGGAGUAAAUCGAGAAAACAAGACCAAAAUGAGUAAAUCGAGAAAACAAAACCAUAAAGGAGUAAAUCGAGAAAAUAGGGUGAUAAAACUAUAUAGAAGAAGUGAAAUGAAAAGAAUUCUCAAUCCAAGAGUAUAUUUUAAUAAAAAAAACUAUUUGCUUGAUUUUACAUUGCUGGAUACUACACAAGUUUCAAUUUGCAAUUUAAGGCGAUAA